AUUGUUUAAAGAAGUAUUUAAUGUAAUGUCCCUACAGGCUGCGACACUACUUUCUGUAUGACCGAAAGCUAUGGCGAAGAUGCACAUAUGGAACAUCUUGGUCAUUUUGACCGUAUUGGCCCUCCUGUCCACAUUUCAACAAGGAGUCGAUGCAGCUAAGCUUGGACGUCUAAAUGGGGGGCCUCGUGGAGGGGGAGGUCACAGGACGAUCACAAGUACUCGGAAAACUCCUCCUCCAUGUAACACAAGGCCGAGUGGCCGCAGAUAACAUCUGUGCACGGACAACAACGUUUACAAGAAUUCAGUGAAGAUCUCCGUGCAGCCAACUCCAACUGGAGACGAAGUGCAUCACCACUGAAGAAGCACGCUACAGAUUAUGCGAAGAAUGGCUCUAACAUCUUGACACCCACACUGAGGAAAACGACCCAUAGAUGAUCACGUAAUACUACCUAACUAUCAGUUACUCCACGACAGUUGACUUUGUUUAAAUAAUGUUGUAUAGGAUAAAGCAUUUUCUCUUUGUUUCUUUCUUUCUAGUGUUUUUGCAGUCUGAGAUCGCUUAAUCAUAAAAAUUAUUUAAUAAAUGUUGGACUGUUGGAAAUGUUGGAAACGUGACCAUUUCUGCUUGUAAUAAUUUUUUUCUCCUUCGUUUACGUAAAUAUAAUAAAAGAAUGAACUCUCA